AUCUGUAUAGUAUAUAAGUAUAUUUGACUUCCAAUCAUAAGGUCUACUAAUUAGUAGUACAGAUA
rnacentral:tRNA from 2 species